UUGACCUCAAAUCAGGUAGGACUACCCGCUGAACUUAAGCAUAUCAAUAAGCGGAGGAAAAGAAACUAACGAGGAUUCCCCUAGUAACUGCGAGUGAAGAGGGAAGAGCUCAAAUUUGAAAUCUGGCAGUCUGUUUUUUCUUCUUUGGCUGUCCGAGUUGUAAUCUAGAGAAGUGCUUACCUGCGCUGGA
rnacentral:rRNA from 1 species